GUAGGUGGCAAGCGUUGUCCGGAAUUAUUGGGCGUAAAGCGCGCGCAGGCGGUUCGUUUAAGUCUGAUGUGAAAGCCCACGGGCUCAACCGUGGAGGGUCAUUGGAAACUGGAGAACUUGAGUACAGAAGAGGAAAGCGGAAUUCCACGUGUAGCGGUGAAAUGCGUAGAGAUGUGGAGGAACACCAGUGGCGAAGGCGGCUUUCUGGUCUGUAACUGACGCUGAGGCGCGAAAGCGGUGGGGAGCAAACAGGAUUAAAUACCCUGGUAGUCCACGCCGUAAACGAUGAGUGCUAAGUGUUAGGGGGUUUCCGCCCCUUAGUGCUGCAGCUAACGCAUUAAGCACUCCGCCUGGGGAGUACGGCCGCAAAGGCUG
rnacentral:rRNA from 1 species